GAUAAACGCUGGCGGCGCACAUAAGACAUGCAAGUCGAACGGACUUAACCAAUAGUUUACUAUUGGAGCGGUUAGUGGCGGACUGGUGAGUAACACGUAAGCAACCUGCCUAUCAGAGGGGAACAACAGUUAGAAAUGACUGCUAAUACCGCAUAUGCCUAAGUAUCACAUGAUACAAUAGGGAAAGGAGAAAUCCGCUGAUAGAUGGGCUUGCGUCUGAUUAGAUAGUUGGUGGGGUAAAGGCCUACCAAGUCAACGAUCAGUAGCCGAACUGAGAGGUUGAACGGCCACAUUGGGACUGAGAUACGGCCCAG
rnacentral:rRNA from 1 species